rnacentral:rRNA from 1 species
CAAUCCUUAGUUGUUACCAUAUAGCUGGGCACUUUAAGGAGACUGCCGGUGAUCAGCCGGGAGGAAGGUGGGGAUGACGUCAAGUCAUCAUGCCCCUUACGGGCUGGGCUACACACGUGAUACAAUGGGGUGACACAUGGGAUGAGAAGAUGCAAGUCCUAGCCAAUCUCCACAAGCAGUGUCUGUUUGGAUUGGGUUGUGCGACUCGAGCCGAUGAGAGAUUGGGUAGGUAUUGUUUGCAGAUAUAGCACAUUCCGGUGUAUAUAUUCUCGGGCCUUGUACACACCCGCCCCGUUACACACUGUGAGUGUGCUUUACACGAAGAGUCUGUGGCAUCCCGCACAUGGAGGCAGCCGCCCACGUAGGGAUCAAUGAUUGGGGUGAAGUCGUAACAAGGUAA